rnacentral:rRNA from 1 species
UACGGAGGGCGCGAGCGUUAAUCGGAAUUACUGGGCGUAAAGCGCGCGUAGGCUGCUGUGUAAGUUGGGGGUGAAAUCCCACGGCUCAACCGUGGAACAGCCCUUGAUACUGCGCGACUUGAAUCCGGGAGAGGGUGGCGGAAUUCCAGGUGUAGGAGUGAAAUCCGUAGAUAUCUGGAGGAACAUCAGUGGCGAAGGCGGCCACCUGGACCGGUAUUGACGCUGAGGCGCGAAAGCGUGGGGAGCAAACAGG